rnacentral:lncRNA from 1 species
CGUGCUGCUUUGUGUUAUUAAAAAGAAAUAAAAUACAUCCACUAGUGUAAUAUUGUAUGCCUUUUAAAAAUGUUACUGGAAAGUGUUUUAUGAUCUGUAAGUCAAAUAAUCCAGCCCUACCAUUUUCAUUUUUCCUGAUAUUCCCCCAAAUCUAGGCCCCUUUGUUCCAGUUGGCAUGUAAACUUGUUUUUUUCCACCAAAUGAGUCAGUCAUGAUAGAAGCGUCAAUUGAUUUGAACAGAUGUGUGUCAAUGUUACUUGGAAAAACUAGAUGCCAAUAACCAGGGCCACAGAAAAAGUCAGCAAUUGUAAUUGUGUAAAGCAUUUAUACAUGCAAGCAGACAAGGGCAAAAGUCAAAUCCUAAACAGGA